CAAGCGGUGGAGCAUGUGGUUUAAUUCGACGCAACGCGAAGAACCUUACCUGGGCUCGAACGGCUUCUCAACGGCGCUGGAAACAGUGCUAUCCCGCAAGGGAGUGGAGUCGAGGUGCUGCAUGGCUGUCGUCAGCUCGUGUCGUGAGAUGUUGGGUUAAGUCCCGCAACGAGCGCAACCCUUGUCCUGUGUUGCUAACCCGAAAGGGUGCACUCCCAGGAGACCGCCAGGGAUAACCUGGAGGAAGGUGGGGAUGACGUCAAGUCAUCAUGGCCUUUAUGUCCAGGGCUACACACGUGCUACAAUGGACGGUACAAACCGCCGCAAACCCGCGAGGGGGAGCAAAUCGGAAAAAACCGUUCUCAGUUCGGACUGCAGGCUGCAACUCGCCUGCAUGAAGCUGGAAUCGCUAGUAAUGGCAUAUCAGAACGAUGCCGUGAAUACGUUCCCGGGCCUUGUACACACC
rnacentral:rRNA from 1 species